AGAGGAAAGGAGGGAAAGGGAAGAGUGAGAGAGAGAGAGAGAGAGAAAGAGAGACUGGGGGGGAAAGAGACUGGGGCAGAGAAAAAGGGAUAGAUGGGAAAAACGGCAGACCAGGGCUGCAUUUGGUGGGGGUGAGUGCCAUGCUGUAGGCUGUGGGACAGUCGGGGUAGUGCAAGGUGUUGCUACUGCUAGGUGUGGUUUGGUUUACAGAGAGGGAAGAGCAUGCAUAGUGAUAAUGGUGGAGGUAAAAAAAAGGGGGGAGAGAUGGAAGGAUUGGUCAUGCGCAAGACCGCAAGCCGUUGGAGGCAGCUUAGAAAUCUCUUACAUCUGGAACAGCCGUAAUUCGUGGGAUUUGGCCUGACAGCCAUGACAGUCAUCGGGGCAGCCGACAACAACUGUCUCCUGUGUUAGCGGCAGCAGUGCAUAUGUGUGUGUAUGACAGACGAGCUGAAAUGAAUGAAAAUAUUUUAUCUAUGGAAAAUCAUUUUUCUUGUCAUUGUGUGGCUUUUUUUGCCAUUCAUUCUAUAAGCAUUGCUUGCUGUAAUUCUGUUAAGUUCAGAUAAGGUACACAAAUAAAGUGAUCUUCAUCUUA